GAUUUGCUCUGAGGCACAGACCCAUAUUGGAGCGGUCCCUGUGGCUCCCAGGGUGUCUCUUUAAGAGGAAAGUUUUGUCCCUGGCAACUGAAGCUCAGAGAGGGCCCUAGAGAAGCUCUGGGGAAAUAAACAAACAACACUGGGGGAGGGGAAGACUGGUCAGUGGGUAACUUUGAGAACCAAAACAAGGCACGACUAUGGGCAGAGGACCUGUAACUUCAUCCUGGCUCUUCUGGGUCAAGACUUCGGGUCUAUGACAGAGUCUUACUAUGUAGCCUUGGCGGGCUUGGAGUUCCCCGAACAGACAAGACUGGCCUCUCUCUCAGAGAUCUGCCUGCGUCUGCCGCCCCUCUUGGGUGCUGGGAUUAAAGGAGUGUGCCACCACUCCCAGCUAACAUUCAGACUUUGAUGCUGCUUUCAGGAGUGAACGCAUGCCCAGGAAUGGAUGGCGCAGUAGUAUACUCAUUUUCUGGAACAUUUCCAACUUGCAAUGAGUGGAACUCGUGGGCAAAGAGGGCAGACAGCAUCACAGAUCAGGUGUCCUCCCUCUGGGCACUGACAAUGGAAGUGGAUGACUCUACUGUGGGAAGCAUUAAUAGAAGAAUCUCUCAAUGAACCUGACAUCCCUAAUUCAGAUCCCUGAGCCAGCCAGAGAACCCCAGGAAUCCUGUCUCCACUUCUCCAAUGCUGGGUUACAAGUGUGUACCACUUGCUGCUCUCCUAGAGGAUUCAAGUUUGGUUCCCAGCACUCAU